UGGUGAACCAGCGGAGGGAUCAUUACCGAGUUAUACUCCAAACCCUUUGUGAACCUUACCAAUUGUUGCUCGGCGCGCAGCGGGGUGGCCUAAACCGCCCCUCCGCGACGCGCCAGAGGACCCAAAUUCUUAUCUUACAGCGUACCUUCUGAUUAAAAAGACAAACAGUCAAAACUUUCAACAACGGAUCUCUUGGUUCUGG
rnacentral:misc_RNA from 1 species